GCAAUGGGAGCGGCAGACGGGAGAGUAACACGUGGGAACGUACCCUUCAGUUCGGAACAACCCAGGGAAACUUGGGCUAAUACCGAAUACGUCCGUAAGGAGAAAGAUUUAUCGCUGAAGGAUCGGCCCGCGUCUGAUUAGCUAGUUGGUGGGGUAAUGGCCCACCAAGGCGACGAUCAGUAGCUGGUCUGAGAGGAUGAUCAGCCUCACUGGGACUGAGACACGGCCCAGACUCCUACGGGAGGCAGCAGUGGGGAAUAUUGGACAAUGGGCGCAAGCCUGAUCCAGCCAUGCCGCGUGGAUGAUGAAGGCCUUAGGG
rnacentral:rRNA from 1 species